rnacentral:rRNA from 1 species
AGCGAACGCUGGCGGCAGGCCUAACACAUGCCAGUCGAACGAACCUUUCGGGGUUAGUGGCGGACGGGUGAGUAACACGUGGGAACGUGCCUUUAGGUUCGGAAGAACUCAGGGAAACUUGUGCUAAUACCGAAUGUGCCCUUCGGGGGAAAGAUUUAUCGCCUUUAGGGCGGCCCGCGUCUGGUUAGCUAGUUGGUUGGGGUAAUGGCUCACCAAGGCGACGAUCAGUAGCUGGUCUGAGAGGAUGAACAGCCACAUUGGGAAUGAGACACCGCCCAAGCCCCCACGGGAGGCAGCAGGGGGGGAUCUCGAGAAAUGGGGGAAAGCCUUAAGCAGCCAUGGCGGGGGGAGGGAGAAGGGCUUAGGAUUGGAAAAGCCUUUCCCGGGGGGCAAUAAUGAAGGUACCCGGAAAAGAAACCCCGGCUAACUUCGUU